rnacentral:sRNA from 1 species
ACUUUGUUAAUUUUAAAGUUUAAUUUUCAUAGACUUCAUAUGCAACACAUUUGAUCAUUCUAAUCCAUGGACAUGGCAGCUUAUCAUAAUCAUAUGCAAAAGAUCAAUUGUAUUUAUGUACUUAGGUAGUCUUUUACAUUAAUUUUAGUAUAAUUUUCAAAUGUGAAAUUUAUUGUGAAGAAGGUGGUCGAUUUUGGCCGAAAUGAUGUGUACAAUACAUGUAGGACCAAUAAGAGACUAGAAAAAAAUUUCCAUAAUAUCCAAUAUUUCUAAACUUGUUCUUGGCAUGUAUAUUUUGCAUGAUUCGAAUUUCAAUGCUGAGAUCAGAAUAAUCCUUGUAUUAAAGAUAUUCAAAAGUAU